UACAGAGGGUGCGAGCGUUAAUCGGAUUUACUGGGCGUAAAGCGUGUGUAGGUGGUUGUGCAAGUCGGUUGUGAAAUCCCUGGGCUCAACCUGGGAACUGCUUCCGAGACUGCUCGACUAGAGUACGGUAGAGGGCGGUGGAAUUUCCGGUGUAGCGGUGAAAUGCGUAGAUAUUGGAAGGAACACCAAUGGCGAAGGCAGCCGCCUGGGCCUGUACUGACACUGAGACACGAAAGCGUGGGGAUCAAACAGG
rnacentral:rRNA from 1 species